UACGUAGGGUGCAAGCGUUAUUCGGAAUUACUGGGCGUAAAGCGUGCGCAGGCGGCUUUGCAAGUCAGAUGUGAAAUCCCCGGGCUCAACCUGGGAACUGCAUUUGUGACUGCAUGGCUAGAGUGCGGCAGAGGGGGAUGGAAUUCCGCGUGUAGCAGUGAAAUGCGUAGAUAUGCGGAGGAACACCGAUGGCGAAGGCAGUCCCCUGGGCCUGCACUGACGCUCAUGCACGAAAGCGUGGGGAGCAAACAGG
rnacentral:rRNA from 1 species